UACAGAGGGGGCGAGCGUUGUUCGGAAUUACUGGGCGUAAAGGGCGCGUAGGCGGCCUGCUAAGUCAUACGUGAAAUCCCUCGGCUCAACCGGGGGAACUGCCUUUGAUACUGGCGAUCUUGAGUCCGGGAGAGGUGAGUGGAACUGCGAGUGUAGAGGUGAAAUUCGUAGAUAUUCGCAAGAACACCAGUGGCGAAGGCGGCUCACUGGCCCGGUACUGACGCUGAGGUGCGAAAGCGUGGGGAGCAAACAGG
rnacentral:rRNA from 1 species